rnacentral:rRNA from 1 species
AUUGAACGCUGGCGGCAGGCCUAACACAUGCAAGUCGAACGGUAGCACAGAGAGCUUGCUCUCGGGUGACGAGUGGCGGACGGGUGAGUAAUGUCUGGGAAACUGCCCGAUGGAGGGGGAUAACUACUGGAAACGGUAGCUAAUACCGCAUAACGUCGCAAGACCAAAGUGGGGGACCUUCGGGCCUCACGCCAUCGGAUGAACCCAGAUGGGAUUAGCUAGUAGGUGGGGUAACAGCUCACCUAGGCGACGAUCCCUAGCUGGUCUGAGAGGAUGACCAGCCACACUGGAACUGAGACACGGUCCAGACUCCUACGGGAGGCAGCAGUGGGGAAUAUUGCACAAUGGGGGAAACCCUGAUGCAGCCAUGCCGCGUGUGUGAAGAAGGCCUUCGGGUUGUAAAGCACUUUCAGCGGGGAGGAAGGCGGCAAGGUUAAUAACCUUGUCGAUUGACGUUACCCGCAGAAGAAGCACCGGCUAACUCCGUGCCAGCCGCCGCAGUAA